rnacentral:rRNA from 1 species
GACGAACGCUGGCGGCGUGCCUAAUACAUGCAAGUCGAACGAACUCUGGUAUUGAUUGGUGCUUGCAUCAUGAUUUACAUUUGAGUGAGUGGCGAACUGGUGAGUAACACGUGGGAAACCUGCCCAGAAGCGGGGGAUAACACCUGGAAACAGAUGCUAAUACCGCAUAACAACUUGGACCGCAUGGUCCGAGCUUGAAAGAUGGCUUCGGCUAUCACUUUUGGAUGGUCCCGCGGCGUAUUAGCUAGAUGGUGGGGUAACGGCUCACCAUGGCAAUGAUACGUAGCCGACCUGAGAGGGUAAUCGGCCACAUUGGGACUGAGACACGGCCCAAACUCCUACGGGAGGCAGCAGUAGGGAAUCUUCCACAAUGGACGAAAGUCUGAUGGAGCAACGCCGCGUGAGUGAAGAAGGGUUUCGGCUCGUAAAACUCUGUUGUUAAAGAAGAACAUAUCUGAGAGUAACUGUUCAGGUAUUGACGGUAUUUAACCAGAAAGCCACGGCUAACUACGUGCCAGCAGCCGCGGUAAUACGUAGGUGGCAAGCGUUGUCCGGAUUUAUUGGGCGUAAAGCGAGCGCAGGCGGUUUUUUAAGUCUGAUGUGAAAGCCUUCGGCUCAACCGAAGAAGUGCAUCGGAAACUGGGAAACUUGAGUGCAGAAGAGGACAGUGGAACUCCAUGUGUAGCGGUGAAAUGCGUAGAUAUAUGGAAGAACACCAGUGGCGAAGGCGGCUGUCUGGUCUGUAACUGACGCUGAGGCUCGAAAGUAUGGGUAGCAAACAGGAUUAGAUACCCUGGUAGUCCAUACCGUAAACGAUGAAUGCUAAGUGUUGGAGGGUUUCCGCCCUUCAGUGCUGCAGCUAACGCAUUAAGCAUUCCGCCUGGGGAGUACGGCCGCAAGGCUGAAACUCAAAGGAAUUGACGGGGGCCCGCACAAGCGGUGGAGCAUGUGGUUUAAUUCGAAGCUACGCGAAGAACCUUACCAGGUCUUGACAUACUAUGCAAAUCUAAGAGAUUAGACGUUCCCUUCGGGGACAUGGAUACAGGUGGUGCGUGGUUGUCGUCAGCUCGUGUCGUGAGAUGUUGGGUUAAGUCCCGCAACGAGCGCAACCCUUAUUAUCAGUUGCCAGCAUUAAGUUGGGCACUCUGGUGAGACUGCCGGUGACAAACCGGAGGAAGGUGGGGAUGACGUCAAAUCAUCAUGCCCCUUAUGACCUGGGCUACACACGUGCUACAAUGGAUGGUACAACGAGUUGCGAACUCGCGAGAGUAAGCUAAUCUCUUAAAGCCAUUCUCAGUUCGGAUUGUAGGCUGCAACUCGCCUACAUGAAGUCGGAAUCGCUAGUAAUCGCGGAUCAGCAUGCCGCGGUGAAUACGUUCCCGGGUCUUGUACACACCGCCCGUCGCACCAUGAGAGUUUGUAACACCCAAAGUCGGUGGGGUAACCUUUUAGGAACCAGCCGCCUAAGGUGGGACAGAUGAUUAGGGUG